UUAGUGCUCUUUACAUCUCGGUGUAUGAUUCUCUGGUAAAUGCCAGUUCCAGUGUGAAGGUAGUCCAGUCCUUGAGCUGCCCCGAUGCAAAUCCUGAGACGUCGAACCCAUGAAAGAGGUGGAGAAGAAGUGUCAUCUUGUCUAAGCCUCUUAUGAAUAUGAUCGGCUAACGUGCCAAGUGUCAUCUUGUCUAAGCCUCUUAUGAAUAUGAUCGGCUAACGUGCCCCCUGCCAUAAAUUCAUAAACAAGAAUCAUCUCAUAACCUUCAUCACAGUAACCAAUCAAGGACACUAGAUGGCUGUGCCGAACUUUUGAGAGCAUCUCAAUCUCUGCCCGGAAUUCUGUGGAUCCUUGACUCGACAUGGAUUUCAACCGUUUUAUGGCAACUAAAGUUGCUCCCAGAGUUCCUUUGUAAACAUUUCCAAACCCGCCUUUUCCGAUCACUAAAUCGUCGUGGAAGUUAGAUGUCGCCCGCUUCAUCUCAUUAAAGGAGAAACGGUAACAUGAUUGUCGAGUAGACAAUGAUUGAAGCCAGUUAUUUUGCUCCACGACUUCUGCUUCUUGAAGUUUUUGGAGCAUAUAAACCACGAUAUUCAAGAUGGUAAUAAGAAUAAUUGCUAAAUUUACAAUGAUGUUUGUAUUAGCAUGCAGAUCGCGUUGACACUUGCCAAGUUAAGAUCCAGCAAACAUGAAUACGUUAUGUAACUUGUAACAAUAUUUGUUCAUUUUAGGGGGAAAAAGUUUAAUAAUCCGUUAAAUGUUGGCAUGUUGAACUGAGUGAAAUUUGGGAGAGAAAUAAAGGUUGAAGUCGUAGAUGCAGUAUGAACCCAUUCCUUGACUUUCAAAUGCAGAGCUGAUAUAUUCCUUGAAUUCUUCAUCGUAGAGCUGUCUGAGAUAUCAUGCCCAAUGACUUAGCGAGAGCAGACAAGAACCCUGAGAUAAACUCACAAGUUUUCUCCGUUAAAUUCAAACAUAUAAAUAUAGUUUUUUUUUUUUUUUGCGACAAUAUAAAUAUAGAGUUUACUUCUUUGUAUGAUUUUGUUUGUCUUAUCUUUUUUGUUUGUCUUAUCUUAUUUUUCAAAUUUAAAUUAUUUACUUUAAAAAAUAUAUAAAAAUAUAUACUUCCUCCGUCCCUGUCAUUUCUUUACAGUUUUUUUCACCGCUCGACACGCAUUUUAAGGCUCUUAUAAAAUAUAGUCCCGUAACUUAUUUUUCAAAUUUUCUUUUUGUGUAUAAAAAUUCAAAUUUUUAUUAGAAAAAACGAAUUAAGAAAUAUGUUACGGGGAACUAUGUUUUCUAUUAUUAUUAAAAUACGUGCCGAACUCUCGUCCCCCCACCUAAACUACCUAGGGGCAGAGCAGGGGCGGACCCAUAGCCUUGGCUAUGGGUUCCCGGGCACCCACUCAACUUCCCACCGAAGUGUAAUUAUAAGGUAAAUUUCGGUUAAAAAUUAAUUUAAAAUUUAGCAGGAACCCACUAAAAUAUUUACCAAACUCAUUAUUUACCUCAAUAAUUUAGAGAUCUUAUUAACUAUUGGGCGAUUGGUGUUCGGAAUAAUUUAAAAUGUUGUAUUUAUUAAGAUAUUUGUCUAAAUAUAUACUUUUUAGUUUCCGGUGUUCUUUAAAUUAACAUUUAAUAUUAAUAUCAAAAAUUUAAAUAUUGAUAUCUAAAUAAAUAUUUAUUAUUUAUAUUACUAAAGUAAAAUAAGGAACCCAGUGAGAAAAAUUUCUGGGUCCGCCACUGGGGCAGAGGGAGUAUUACUUUGGUAUUCACCCAAAUACACUAGAUAAUCACAUAUUCUCCUGGUAUAGACCUCGUCACAGCAUUGUGCUGGAGUUACUCUGACCGUAAGGAAGUAGGUAAGGAUACCAGCUAGUGGAGUUUUUACUCUAUAAACAACAGCAACGAAAAAACAUACAUAUAUUCACCGACUCUAAAAGUCUAAGUCAUACAAUGAAAACAAGACAAACGCAUUUGACAUUUGGAUCAGAUAACCUGGAUUACUGGCCCUUAAUAUAUAUUUUAAUAUUCUAAUACAGAUUAAGAGAUAGUUGUUGGCUUCCUCUAAUCUCAACACUUAUUCAACUCAAAUUUUCCCCGAUGAUUCACAUAUAUUAAUCUACAUAUAUAUCACUUAUGUGAAGAUCAUUAAGAUCAUUAAGCCUAUAAAUACAAGGCUUUAGUUAACUAAUACAAAACAAAUUAAAGAUGGGAAGAUCAAUAGCAAUCUCUCUAGUUGUAGUACUAGUGUGUCUCAUCUUAGCAUCAGAAACAGCAGCAAAGAAACGAAAAUCUCCCCCACCACCUAAACAAUCUCCAACGCUUUAUCACUCCCCUCCUCCACCAAGAGCUGUGGAAUAUCCUCCGCCACCACCUCCUAUUUAUUCUCCCCCACCUCCACCUCCUCCACCUCCUCCUCCUCCUCCUCCUCCUCCCAUGCACUCAUUGCCACCACCAUUUCAUUAUCACUCACCGCGCCAUCCGGUUCAUGCCCCACCACCACCUAAGCACCAUUCUCAUCACUACAAGUACAAGUCUCCGCCACCACCUGCACAUUAUCCCGCACCAAAAUAUCACUACAAGUACAAGUCUCCGCCACCACCACCACCAGCCACGCAUCAUUAUUACUUUAAUUCACCUCCCCCUCACCACUACUAAGAUGAAGUGUCCUCAUUGCCGAACAAGAUGAGGUAAUAUUAAUGGCGUACGUGCAUGAUGUUUUCGAUAUAUCUAUGGGAUCAAUAUAUGAUGAUGUAAGGCAUCUAAUUUUCAUUUUAUGUAUCAAUAAUUUGUUCACAAUCAAUAAAAUUUUGUUAUGUGUUCAGCGUGAUCAGAUACUAAUUAAUAUUUCAUGUUUGAUCUCACGAGGAGUGUGAUAUAAAAUUCAUGGUUUAAUUACUGUAUGUACCAUUUUAGACUUUUUAGUAGAGCACCCUCUCUCGUAUAUAUUGUUACUCAGUACUCCCAUUUUAUAUGACUUUUACUCUUUUUUGGGACGUCCACAUACUUACUAUUUUUGAACACUACUUUCUACUAUUACACUAACUACUUUCUUCCACUAUCUCCAUUAUAUAAUAAUAUAAACACUAUUACACCCACUACUUUCCUCCACUAUCUCAAAUCUAUUAUUAAAUAUUGAUAGGUUCUCCCAUUUUUCAACUAAACUUACUACUCCCUCUGUCCCCUCAUUUGUUUACAUUGGGGGACGGGGGCUCGUCACGCAUUAUAAUGCUCUCGUAAAACGUAGUUCGAUAAAUUAUUUCGAACUUUUUUUUGUUCUGAAUAAAAAUUUGAUGUUUAUAUUUUUAUACAAAAAAGAAAAAAAUUAAAAAUAAGCCUUAAAAUGCGUGUCGAGCAGUGUGAAAAAACUGUAAACAAAUGAGGGGACAGAGAGAGUAUCUUUUUCUUAAUCUUCGUGAAAGUCAAACCAGCUCAUUUAUUAUAGGACGGAGAGAGUACGUAGUUAGUACAUGCAUAUUCAACAGGUUAAAGUCAAGGUGUUGCUCGCUCCUCCAAAGAAAAAAUGUAAAAUGUUCGCAUCAUAUUUGUCUCUGGAUAACUGAGAUGCGGCCACUUUUUUUUACGGAAAAUGUUUCGUGCACGUAAUUGUGUUCAAAAUUUUGUAUAUAAUAAUAUGUGGCAGGUUUUAAUUGUAAUGUGUCAUUUUAUUCACAUCAACAACCCCAAUUAAAAUAUUUUACAUCAAUUGUCAUCAUGUACAAAAAUUUUGUACACAAUAACAAAAAUGUACAAAUAUAUACUUAAUUUUGAAAAAUAUAUUUUUUUGCUUAUAUCUUCUAAUUUUUUUAUUUUGCUAAAUUUCUUAUAUCUUUUUAUUUACUGUUAGUUCAAUAAUAAAUCAAUAAACAUCAACCUCUUGCUGCACCUAACACUCAUUUUAAAGUACCAGUUCUACUGUUGCAUUUUGUUAAUCGAGUCCUCUCACGUCUCAUGAUCAUGAGGCUGGAUGCUUUUUAUUUAAAUUAUAAACAUCUGGAAUCGAUUUAACCAUUGUUUUAUAUUGUCUGUGUUAUUUUGAACUAAGAUCCAAUUUUCUAGAUAACAGGUCAUCAGUUUGGAAAAUGCCCUAGUCAGUCUUUAUUAGUGAUAUUCUACGCGCAUAGGCUUUUCUGAAGAAUAUAAAUUAUAACCAGGUGGGCGGAGGGCGGAUACACAUCUAUAUAUGUUUCCAAUUGGUCUGAGAUUAUGUUGGUAACUACAGAAUAAGGCUUGGUCUCCAUCCAUAGAUACGUUCCUAUUUUUCAUAGCUGACGUACCAAGUCAUAAAUACUUGUCUUAUUUCUAUUUUCAAACACAAUAUACAUGUAAAUCAAUUUAUUAAUUCAAUGCAUUUGUUAGAAGUACAAGGGAAACUAAUUAUUCAACUAUUUUUUUCUCAAGAUGGGUAAUUUUUUCAAAAGGACCUGUAAAAGUUGACGAAGAGAGUAUGUUUCAAGUUUAAUUUUAUCUCAUUCAAAUAAAAUUCAUUUAUAUAUAUUCAUAUUUUUCUUCAAAUAAAAAAUCUUGUAAUUAGUUAGAGCCUCUUUUAAAUCAUAAACUUUACGAGAUCUUAAAUGAUUAGUGAUUUAUAUAUGUUUAAGUUAGAUGAUGUACCAGUAAUAGUUAAGUAAAUUAGACGUUUAUUUUACAGUAUUAUUUAUCAUUAUAGUGCUAUUAGUAUAUUAAAUUAAUUUUCUGAUAUCGGGUUUCGGAUUUUGAGUUUCAGAUAGAGGUUUUCGAGUAUUUCAGAUAUCCAAUCCAAAAAAUUUGGGUUUCGAAUGUACCCGAAUUCGAUUCGAAAUCCGUUGGAUCAGAUUCGGGUAUUAAUUUUCGAAUAUUUUUCAGGUUUGGAUCGGAUUCUGCAAUGGAUAAAAAAUUCAGGUUUAAAUAUGAAUUAUGUCAUACCCGACCCGAUUGACAUCUCUGAUAAUUCAUACUACAUAAUCGCCUACUUAGUUUUAACGGAUUUGUACCUUGUUCUGGUGGUGGCAUGAUCUCGGCUAUAUGUGAUAUAUUGAUAUUGCCGACAUAAUCCGGACGCACUCGAAGAGCAUGAGGAUUCUUGUUUUUCUUACAACAUGGGCGUGAAAUCAAUCCGUAAGCAGGUGUAACUGUGAUAUUUUCUAUUAGUAUAUAAGAUUUUCUGAUUUAAUAAAAAAAUUCUAAGUUAAAUACCACAUUGGCGUGAAAUCAAUCCGUAGAGAUAAAACCUGCACCAUCUGCAUUGAUUUAAAACAUAUAAACAUCAAUAUUUUUUUGAAUAUUUUUUUAACAUUAUAUCUAACUAGUGAAUAAAGCCGCGCUUCGCGGCGGCGUUAUGAAUUUUUUAUAAAUUUUGAUAGGAAUUAAUAUUAUAAUUGCAUAAAAGUUAUUUUGAGUCAUGUUCCUGUUAAACAUAUCAUUAAUAAAAAAUAUUAUAAUUAAUAUAAAAAUUUGUUUAAGUGGUCCUCAUGUCAAACACAAUACUAAUAAAAAAAAUUGUUUGACCCGCCCUCCCAUCAAAGACAUGAUGAAGUUAAAGAUUAUAUUUGGAUAAAAAUUAUUUUAAGCUGUGGUCACGUUUUAAUAAAAAAAUACAUUAUAUCAUAGAUAAAAAUUUGUUUUAACCGCUUUCCCGUCAAACAUAAUACUAAUAGAAAAUUUAUUAUUAUUUAGAUAAAAAUUAAUUUGGGCCGCCCUCCCCUCAAACACAAUACUAAUCAAGAAUUUUUUUUAGAAAUUUUGAUACGAAAUAAUAUUAAACUUACAUAAAAUUUAUUUUAAGUCAUGUUCCUAUUAAACAUAUCAAUAAGAAAAAAUAUUAUAAUUAAUAUAAAAAUUUGUUUAAGUGGCCCUCAUGUCAAACACAAUACUAAUAAAAAAAAUGGUUUGACCCGCCCUCCCAUCAAAGACAAUAUUAAUCAAUAAUUAUGAUAAAAUUAAAUAUAAUAAUAUAGAUAAAAAUUAGUUUGAGCUACUCUUUUGUCAAGCACAAUACUAAUAACAAAAUAUUAUAAUAUAGACAUUAGUUUGAGUGGCCCUACUGUCGAACACAAUACUAAUAAAAAAUAUUAUAAUUAUGAUAAAGUUAAAGAUUAUAUUCGGAUAAAAAUUAUUUUAAGCCGUGGUACCAUUUUAAUAAAAAAUACAUUAUAAUAGAUAAAUAUUGUUUUAGCCGUUUUACCGUCAAACAUUAAUACUAAUAGAAAAUUUAUUAUUAUUUAGAUAAAAAUUAAUUUGGGCCGCCCUCCCCUCAAGCACAAUACUAAUUAAGAAUCAUUUACAUUAUGAUAAAAUUAUAAUUAUAAAUGGAUAAACAUAUCCAAUUUUAUAGAUUUUAGCUAUUAUAUUUUUCUUUAAGAUUCAGAUUUUUUAAUUGUUUAAAAUUAUCUCUCUUUUCUUUUAGGAUUCCUAUUUCUUAAUUACUUAGAAUUUUCAUAGAUUUUAGCUAUUAUAUUUUUGUUAAAAUUCCUAUUUCUUAUCUACUUAGAAUUAUAUCGCUCUUACGAUUACUAUUUUUUAGCUACCUUACCUAUUUUCUCACAAAAAAUUAGAAAAAUUAAACAGAAUUCCCGCGUAUCUUCUCAAGAAUCAUUUAAAUUAUGAUAAAAUUGUAAUUAUAAUUGGAUAAAUAUAUCCAUUUUUAAUAGAUUUUAUUUUUUAAUUUUUUUGAAUUAUCUCUCUUUACUUAUAAUCUUUACUUAUAAGAUUCCUAUUUGUUAACUACCUAGAAUUUUACAGAAUUUCACAAAUUUAGGAGGCGCUUUUCUCAUCUUUCUUUAUAUUCUUUACAAUAAAUUCACCAAAAUAAUAAUAUAAAAAAGACCGAACCUGACAUGAACGUAUUCUUUUAAUUGCAAAAAGAAAACAUGUUAAAGAACUCAAGACAUGGUUUGAACUUUGAUGAUGAAUGAAAUCACAACCACCCCAUGAUUUGAGAUUAAUUAUUGGCAAUAGUGGCCGCAAGCCGUUUGAUCAACAGGCAAAUCUAAGGUGUAAUUUCUUUUUCUUUAAAAGCAGCACCUUGAUAACCUUUUGGCCAGCCGGCGAGGGGUUAUGAAAAAUCAUGGGUACUAAUUACUAUAGCCUCGAACGGCUACAUAAAUAAACAUAACAGAACAUAUAAUGGCCGUUUGGAUGAGUUUAAAAUAAGUGCUUCUUGCUUAAAAUAAAAAAGUGGAGCAGAAGUUAGAAGCAAAUUAAGACUUAUAAGUGAUUAAAGUGUUUGAGAAAGAAGUAGAAGUCCUGAAACAAAAGUUAGCAUUCCUAGCUUAUUAUAAGUGCUUCUUGACUUAUUAUACAAACGGUACGAAUAAGUGCUCCUAACUUAUAAUCCAAGAAGCUGGACUUAUAAGUGUUACACAAACACCCACAUAAACGCAAACACACUAAGCUGUUGACAUCAGAUUCAGUUUAGUAGGAUUCAUGCGGUGUCAAAAUCAGGAAUUUGUAGAAAUUUUGGAAAAGACGGUGCGCCAAAACAAUCAAAGAUAAAACUAAAAGAAAAAUCACAUGGACUUAAAACAUCUUGAAAUUUCUGUUAGGUAAUCCAUAGNCCAAUAAGUUUCUGAAUAAAUCUCUUCCGAUGAGUUUCCGGAUAAAUUUAAGAAAAUUAUAAGACUAAAUUGAAAAUAAGAAUUGUAUUACUUUAUAAAUCUCAAAUAUAAAUUGUAUUUCUCUUAGGAUUUCUAAAUAAGAAAAGAAUUGUAUUAUCUUUAGAAUCCAAUAAGAAAAAGAAUCAUAUUAUCUUUAGAAUUGUACUAAACUUGAAUUUUUUUGAAUUAUAAUUAUAUUUUUCAUCCGAAAUUUAAGAAAAAUUAGAAGACUGAAUCGAACGAUUCUAGAGACACCCGCAUCCUCCUUUAUAUAUAUAUAUGAUUAGUCCGCCAAUUUGAAUAAAUAAUAUAAGUUAGCUCGUUGAAUUGUUUAUGUUAGAAUCAAUUAUACAAUCAUAUUUUAUAUAUUAAUUUUUUUUACUUAAAUUAGUUCAAUUUCAAAAUUUGAUUUUCAUUUAUUCGAUUUUUUUGUAUACAGUAGUUUGACUGAUUCCGUUAAAUAUUAUGUCCACUAUAUCUUUGUUUACCGUAUAAAUCAUUCAGUAAUAAACAAGUCAUGUCCAACUUUAUUAGAAUGUUCAAUACCAAAUGAUAACAUAGAAAACAAAAUUUUAAUAUUCAAACUAUGCAAUUUUUUACCGUUGCACAAUAUUUUUUUACCGUUUUGCAACAUUAACUAAAAUAUUAGUAGGGUUACGUUUUUCCUUAAAUCUGGUACUCUACUCUAGUCAGAAAACUAUUGCAGCAAUAGUUGGCAUAUUAGAAGUUAAUAGAAAAAGUCCAGAGGUGUAGUCCUCUGGAUGAUCAACUAAGGAACCCUUGACAGAUGAAGUUAGGAAGCUCUUGGAUGUUGAGUUCACCUGCCACAAAUGUAUGAGCUAUAUCGAGGGACAGAUAACAAUACUCAAGAAGGUCAAUUCUUUCGUAUUUACUCCAGCUAGAGUGUUUCAGGUACUCUCUAGCAAUGAACUCUGCGUGCUUGCCGUCUAUGCUCUGCCAAAUGUCCUCCAGAUCACCGUAAAUUGGAAAGCUCUUAAUCAUCUGAAUUUAUUAAAUGAGGAAUUUCAUUUAAUCAAUUCAAACUGCUUAUGUGUUAAAGAAAUUGACUGCACCUGAACCUUAGCCGUGCCUAAGUAAGUAAUGAAUAUUAGGGCGAUCCCUUGAACUGGCCACCUGAAUCCUCGCUAUCAGCCUGUGUUCUGUACAAGGAACUCAGAUUAAAAUCCAUUUAUCAUCAUUCAAUUAUAUAUUUUAUUGCUUAGAUUGUCAAUUUAGAACUGAGAAUUUAUAUAGCAUUUUAUGUUACUAAUACUCAUUUGUGCAUCCCCUAACCUCUCUUGAAUCUUACCUCAGUAUCUUCACUCUCUUACUCACCUCACCUGAUUCUCGCUCAACUCUCAACUCUCAUCUCACUUUCUCCACUCUCUCUCUCAUUAAAAGUGCAUUUGAACCGUAAGUAGGGUUAAUCGCCUCAAUUGGGUUCAAUCCUCGCUCUCUUUUGCUCUGGCUAAUUAAAGUAGCUAAUCGAAGCAGGGAAUUCAUGGAUCUUAAUGGAUUUUACGGGUCUUCAUGAAUUUCUUAUAAUUGAUACAAUUACAUCGACUUUUUCAUGGAUUUUGUACUAAUCAGGACUACAAUCUUCAUUUUCCAGGAGAUUAGGGCUCUCUCUCGAGGCUUGAAGUCGGGGCUUUUACUUUGAGAUUUGAGUUAGGACUUUCAAUUAAGGUAAAUCCAUAUUUAAUUAUGGUAUAAAUUUGGGUUUUGUAUUCUAUAUGUGAUGCCAUAAAUAUGGGUUUUGUAUUCUAUAUGUGAUGUUUUAAUUUACAUGUUUUAAUCAAGGUAAAUCGAAUCCUUAUGGUGUAACUUUGGUUUUGUUUUUUAGAAUAUACUGUAUUGAUUGAAAUAGAAUGGGAGAAAGAAGAGGGCGAGAGACAAAGUAGUCGAGUCUAUAGAGAGUCACAGAUUAAGAGAGUUAAAGAAAAUAGGAACCUUAGGGUGAUUUUAUAUAUAUGAACUUUACACCUUAUGUACUUUAUCUUUGGUGUAUCUUGAUUUUCUUGCUUGUCCAUCCGUAUUUAUAAAGACAGACUAGAACUUAUAGUAACUCUACAAUCUUCUUUCCAUUGCAAAGUUGCAUCUUAUUAAGAUCUAUUCCUGCAGGCAGAAUGAGAUUGAUAGUAAAUUUCUAGAAGCACAGAACAUCAUGGACUAUAGUUUUCUGCUUGGUGUGCAUUAUCAAGCUCCGCAGCAUCUGCGAUCUCUUAUGUCUUAUAAUCAAAGUCUGGCAGACGGACUUGGAGUAGUUGCGGAAGAAGGUGGGAUGCACAUUUGUAUAACCAAUUUAUGAUUUAAAGAUUCCUAAAUCUUUCGAUCAGGAUAGGUCACACAUAAGAAAAUUGAUUUCUAUUUCACAGCUAAAAGUCACGCAUUUUUCAUAACUAUAUUAACUUCAGAGCACUAGACUCCUUCUGCAGAGUAUCGCGAUAUAACCUUGUGAAUAUCAUUGAUUCACCUUGCACUCUUUUCUUACUGGUACUGUUUAUAGUUUUCUAGUAUCUUUAGGUAGAACAAGAAUACUAGUAUUCUUAAUUAAUAGUAGCAAUCUUGGGAGAGGAUGUGUAUGGCAAAAAGUAAGGGGGGAAAUGGGUUUCAGAGUUUUGCACGGCUUCAACUUGGCCUUAUUGGGGAAGCAGCUAUGGAAUUUCAUGAGUAAUCCUGACGCACUGGUUACACGUAUCUUUAAAGCCCGAUAUUUCAGUGAUUGUCAUUUAUUGAAAGCAAAGUGAGGUGCUGGUUCGAGUUUCUUAUGGACGGGCUUAUGGGAGACUAAAGAAGAGUUGUAUAAAGGCUAUAAAUGGGUUUUGGGUGAUGGAAUGGAUAUUGAAAUAUUUAGAGACCCAUGGUUACAGGGAAAAAGAGAAUUAUGUGUGGAAGACUACCAUGAUAACAAUGUCAGACCUGACAAAGUGUGCGCACAUUUCCGUUCUAAUACUAAAGAGUGGGACGAGCAUAAGGUAUGCCAAACUUUUCUCGAUGAUGAUGUUAAAUGCAUUCUUCAGACUAGAGUUCCUCAAAUUGGAAAGAAAGAUAGGGUGGCUUGGAUGGCAACUGUUGAUGGUAAGUACACUGUUAAGUCUGGGUAUCAUUACUAGUAUGACAAAAGUGGGAAUAUGGCCUCUGUUAUUGAGUGGAAUAGGUUAUGGAAUCUUGAUCUACCACACAAGAUCAAGAUAUUUAUAUGGAGGUUUUGUAGAAAUAACCUUCCUGUUAGAAAUUUGCUGAGAUGUAAAAGGUGUGUAUCCCAAUUUUAUGUCCAACGUGCAAUGCGGAUGAUGAGCAUUUACUUCACUUAUUUUUUGACUGUGGCUACGCUAAGAAAUGUUGGGAGGAAGCUGGUUUGAGCUAUGAUAUGAGGACAGUGGAGGAUGCUUUUCAUUGGCUCCUUGAGAGGUUAAGUACUGAAAUGAGCGAAAAGUUGAUUAUCAUAACAAAAGUGCUAUGGGGCAUCUGGUUUGGUCGUAAAAUGAAAGUGUGGGAUUCAAAUAGGGGUGACAGUUUUAUCCGACCCGAUGGAUACUCGACCCGUUCCGACCCGAUUGGGUCUACCCGAACCCGAUAUAGUUGGAUCUGGAUCCGGAUCUGGAUCUUAUUUUCAGACCCGAAAGAGUUUGGAUCUGGAUCUCAUAUAUUCCGAACCGAGAACCGACCCGAAACCCGAUUUAAACCUGAUCCGAACCCGAAACCCGAUAAAAACCCGAUACAAAAUAUUUUUAUAUAUAUAUAUAUAUAUAUAUAUAGGAGGAAGAUCCUAAGAAAACCCAGCUUAUCAAGAAAACUGAGAAACCCACUUAAUCACCGUUCAUCUCAUAAUCAUAAUAUUUAUCAAAAUAUCAAUCAAAUCUAAUUUAUAAAGGAUAGUAUAGUAAUCUUCUACAUACAUUUAAUGCAUUCAAUAAAUACAUGCAUUUAAUGCAUUCAAUCAGUACAUUUCUUUCUUCAAAAAGAUUUGUCUAAGAUUUGCUUCAAUAUUCACGCAUUAUCCAUACUGCAUCAAUCAAGCUCACAUAUAAGGAUUAAAUUAGUAAAAUAUAAAUAUUAUUUAACUAACAUAAAUAAUAAGAUAUGCAAUUAAUUGAUUUCUUUUUUUUAUAUUAUUUAUAUCUCAUUAAUAGUCAGAGCAUUUAGUGUAUAUUAAAUUUGAAUUUCAAAUUUCAAAAUUUCUAAGUUUCACCGUGAGAAAUAGAAAAGAUAUAAUAACAUUUUUUUAGCAUUUAUUUUUAUUUAUAAUUUUUUGACGUAAGAGGUUUCUUAAAGUAUUCCUUUAGAUAUUAUUAUAACUUUUGUAUUCGUAUUCUUUUAUAUUAAUUGGUUUAAGAUUUUUCGAAAUAAUAAUUAAUAAAAAUAUUAAAAGAGUCAAAAGAAUAUCAUACAGUGAAUAAUUUAUACAAGAAAAAUCUCAAAUUUUAAAAGAAUCUUGCAUGACACAAAUAUUUAUUAUUAAAAAUAAUAAAAUAUCUUAGAGAAUCUUUAAAAUUUUAUUAUUUAAGAUCAUAUUCUAAAAUACAUUUAGAUAAGAUAUUUUCAUAGGUAUUAUCAUGUGUACGAAAUUACUCAACAAAAUCAGAUCAAAUAUUUUCUCAUUAACUAUAGGAGAGGUAUUUCAGUUUUAUUAAUAUAACAUAUAUGAUAAAUGUCAUUUGAAUGUAAUUGGAUUCCUUCAAGUGUUUAUAUUCAAAGUAAUAAAAUAUAACAAGAUUUCGUUAAGUGUUUUGAUGCAUAUUUUAAAAGAAUAUUGCAUGGCACAAAUAUUUAUUAUUAAAAAUAAUAAAAUAUCUUAGAGAAUCUUUAAAAUUUUAUUAUUUAAGAUAUUAUUCUAAAGAGCAUUUAGAUGAGAUAUUUUCAUAGGUACUGUCAUGUGUAGGAUAUUACUCAACGGAAUCCGAUCAAAUAUUUUCUCAUUAACUAUAGGAUAGGUAUUUCAAUUUUAUUAAUAUAACACAUAUGAUAAAUGUCAUUUAAAUGUAAUUGGAUUUCUGCAAGUGUUUAUAUUCAAAGUAAUAAAAUAUAACCAGAUUCCAUUAAGUGUUUUGAUGCAUAUUUUAAAAGAAUCUUGCAUGACACAAAUAUUUAUUAUUAAAAAUAAUAAAAUAUCUUAGAGAAUCUUUAAAAUUUUAUUAUUUAAGAUCUUAUUCUAAAGAGAAUUUAGAUAAGAUAUUUUCAUAGUUACUGUCAUGUGUAGGAAAUUACUCAACGGAAUCUGAUCAAAUAUUUUCUCAUUAACUAUAUGGUAGGUAUUUUUUUUUUUUGAAGAUGAGAAUAAAUCUCACAAAUAUGAAUCGGCAAUUCACUGUGAUAAUUCUUUCAUUCAACAAAGCUUAUCAUCUAACCGUCGGAUAUGCAAGAUGACCGGGGAAAUUUAGACAAUAAAACUUUAAUGUCCGAAAAGAAAAACCCGUCUUCUUCCAAGAAUCCUGAAAAUUAAAACGAAGGAAAUAAAAAGAAUCUUGCAUGACACAAAUAUUUACUAUUAAAAAUAAUAAAAUAUCUUAGAGAAUCUCGUACAUAUAUUCCAAAAAGAUUUUGUAUGGUCAUGUUAAUGAUUAGAUAUUUAAGAUUCGAUUAAGUGUUUUAAUAUCAAAUUACUAAAUUAAAUAUUAAGCAUUUAUGAUACUAAAUGCUUUCUAUUUAAUGUUUUAAUUAAUUAUUUACUAUUGGAUAAAAAGUAAGAUUUUGACAUGUUAACUUCAUUAGUAAAAUGGUAAUGGAACCUUAAUAUUUUAACUUCAUUAGUAAAAUGGUUAAUAGAAUCUUAAUAUUUUAACAUCAUUAGUAAAAUGGUGUUAAACAUCUUAACAUCAUUAGUAAAAUGGUUAAUAAAAUCUUAAUAUUAAUCUUUCACUUAUCACAAAAAUAAAAAAAAUUAUAAUACAUCAUGUUUUUUUGUAAAAUAGUUAAAAAAAAUAAUUAAAGCAUUAAACAAAAAUUAUUUAAUAUCCUACCAAAUGUUCGUAAAAUCUAUUAAUUUUUUAACAAAUAAUAGUAUUAAAAUAUUAUCAUUAAACAUUCUUAUUAACAUCUUAUAAAAUAUACACGUUCUUUAAUUAACAUAAAUAAUAAGAUAUACAAUUAAUUGAUUUCCUUUUCUAUAUUAUUCAUAUCUUAAUUAAUCAGUGUGUAUUCAGUUUGAAUUUCAAAUUUCAAAUUUCAAAAGAUUCAACUUGAUAAAUAGAAAAGAUUUAAUGAUAUUAUUUUAGCAUUUGUUUUUAUUUAUGAUUUUUGGAUGGAGGAGGUUUCUUAAAGUGUUCCUUUAGAUAUUAUUAUAAUUUUUGUAUUGGGAUUCUUUUAUAUUAAUUGGUUUGAGAUUCUUCAAAGUAAUUAUUAAAAUUAUUAAAAGAGUCACAAGAAUAUCAUAAGGUAAAUAAUUUAUACGUGAAAAAUCUCAAAUUUUAAAAGAAUCUUGCAUUGCACAAAUUUUGUUAUUAAUUUUUUUUAGAGAAUCUCGAAUAUAUAUUCUAAAAGAAUAUAGUAUGGUCUUAAUUUAAUAUUAAAAUUAAGAUUCUAAAAGUUUUAUUAUCAAGUUUUCUCUGAAUAAAAGAUUCUACUAGAAGUUUUCUCUGAAUAAGCAUAACUAGAACACAAACUAGAACAUCCAUAAACAACUAGAACACAAACUAGAACACCCAGAAACUAACUGAAGAACAACUUCCACAAGAACCUAGUAUUCUAAGCAAACAUAACUAGAACACAAACUAGAACACCCAAAAAUUAACUCAAGAUUAACUUCCACCUUAGUAAAGAACCUAGUAUUCUAAGAAGAUCAUCUAGUAUUCUAAGAAGAUCAUGUGGAAUCCUCGAAACUUUCCCUCUCCAAGAGAUUCUGAUCAACAUCCAUCAAGUCUUUACUCGCGACGUAGAAACAGGAAAUCGAAGAAUCAAAAAGUAGGACCUCCGAGGAAAACAAAAGCUAUUAAGAACAUAGGUUAGCAUUCUCCGAAAUGUUUGGAUCAUGGAGAUUCUUGAGCAUUCUAUCCUCAAGAACAUCCUGAGCAUUUUAUCCUCCAGACUUGGGAACUCACAGAUGAACCAAUUUUCUCAUAAAUCAAUCUUCCGCCUCGUUCUUCUUCUGCCCAACUUGAAAUUGUUGACUCGAUUGGUUUGUACGACUUGAAAUUAAAAAAACUCAAAGGUUGAGGGUACUCCUUGAUGUUAAAAAGUAGAACCUUUUCGAAUCCAAUCUCCACAACCCAUUGCCUUUGUGCAUCUGAAAGAUUGUUCACGAUUCUUUUUAAGAAGAUAGGUUUGGCUCAAACCAACAAACGGUCGGUGUUCUCAUGGAGAUUCUUCUCCACCAUUAUAUCUCUGAAAAUGAAGCGAGGCUAUUUUGCGAUAGUUUGAAAAGGAAUACAAGAGUCACAACAAUUAAAUGAUAUGAAAAAGAUUUAAGAUCGAUGAGAAUGAUAUGUCGUACAAACCUUCGAUUGAUGAAUCAUAGUGUUUACACGACCUCGUAGUUUUCUCCUGCUUACAAUUCUAGUGGUUCUUCAUCACAAUGUAUACAUGUAAUGAUCUGAUAUGUAAAGAUUUGUGAUUAAUUUAUGUGCUUUGAUUGGAUUUUGGCAGAUGCCAAAAUUAUAAAAUUUCUAAUUAAUCAAAAAUAGAUUCCUUACGAUUUUGCCCUUGUGUGUGUUAGAUUUUGAUAUUUUUUGAUUGGAUUUAAUUUGGGAAAUGAUUAUAUAUGACAAAAAUAAUCAACGGCAUCUAAGAGGGUUUUUCAGUUUUCUUGAUAAUUUGGUUUUCUCUGGAACCUCACUCAUAUAUAUAUAGGCUCAUGAUCAAAUAGAAACCACUCUUAAAAUAAAAACUAGAAACCAGUUUCCCUACCACUAUUUAUAACUACGGGUAUCACUAAUUUAUACUGCACUAAUCACUGUUUUUAUAGAGUAUGUAAACAGCGAUUUUUAUCAUCAAAAUUGAGAAAAUUUACUUAUCUAAAUUAUUGAUAAUCGAUUAUAGAUGAUUAAUUUCAUCCGUAGGAAGGUUCUUGGUGGUAGGAAGCCGCAAUAGAAGCUGUAUGAUGAUGGUAAAAUAAUCGUUAGUUUUGUAAGUUAUGAUGGAAAGUGUAUGUGACUAUUGGUGAUGAUAGAACAAUGGUGGCAAGUUAUAANNNNNNNNNNNNNNNNNNNNNNNNNNNNNNNNNNNNNNNNNNNNNNNNNNNNNNNNNNNNNNNNNNNNNNNNNNNNNNNNNNNNNNNNNNNNNNNNNNNNNNNNNNNNNNNNNNNNNNNNNNNNNNNNNNNNNNNNNNNNNNNNNNNNNNNNNNNNNNNNNNNNNNNNNNNNNNNNNNNNNNNNNNNNNNNNNNNNNNNNNNNNNNNNNNNNNUAUAUAUAUUAUGUUUCAUGUAAAGUAUAUAUUCUUUCUUAAAAUUUUAGUUGUUAUGAUAUUAUAUAUUUUAUAAAUUGAUAGUAUAAAUGAUAAAUAUUUUUAUUAUCUAUUUGUAUAUCCUUUUAUAAUAUUAAUAUGUAUAUGCUUUUAUAAAAAAAUAUAGAAUAAUCUAUUAUUCUAUAUGCUUUAAUAAAAAAACAUAAAAAUAUCUAUUUUUUAUAUAUUUUUAUAAUAUUUUCAAUAUCUAUUUGUAUGUUUUUUUUAUAAAAAAACUUGAAAAUAGAAAGGAUUACCUAAUAACUUUCAAAUUAUAAAUAUAGCUCAAAAUUUAUUAUUUAUAAUUUAAAUUCUAAUAAAUUGAAAUUUGAUUAAAUUAUAUUAACCUACUCAUAUAUUUUUUCUUAAAAUUUUAGCUGUUAUGAUAUUAUAUAUUUUAUAAAUUUAUAGUAUAAAUGAUAAAUAUUUUUAUUAUCUAUCUGUAUAUACUUUUAUAAUAUUGAUAUGUAUAUGCUUUUUUAAAAAACAUAGAAUAAUCUAUUAUCUAUAUGUUUUUAUAAAAAAAACUUAGAAAUAUCUAAUUUUUAUAAUAUUUUUAAUAUCUAUUUGUAUUUUUUAUAAAAAAACAUGAAAAUAGAAAUGAUUACCUAAUAACUUUCGAAUUAUUAUUUCUCAGAACCUCUAUUAUGUUACACAUCAAAUAGAUGAUACUACUAUGUACAUCUAUUUUGAAUUAAAUAUCAAUUCAAUUCUAUACAGCACUUGUGUAAUGUACAAGCAGUUUUCUUUAAACUUCAGUUUUACAACUAUAUCCAAAAGUCCACUAAAGAUGUUAAAAUAUGUGUUGCCAUCAUGACAGCACAUCUCCGGAGGAACUUUUUGACGAAGUGUGAGUUCUUUUUAGAUUUAAAAUUUAACGUCUAUGUUAUUUUCCAUAUCAAGUUUUUUGCUUAUACUAAUAUUUGAGCAUAUAUAUAUAGGUUGACAUAAGUGAAUUAUUUACAGCACUAUAUUGUGAGGAUCAUUCUUGUCCCUUAGGAAAAAAAAUUGUUUGUAUAUUUUUAAUAGAGAAUCAUGACUAUAAGACUAUCAGUUGCAUGGAGCACUGGACUGUUUUUUUUUUUCAAUUUGUGAUGCCAGAGACAUAUAUAUCCUUGGAAUAUGAAAUAUAAUCUGCGGUACUUUAGGCAAGUGAUAUAAGUAAAAUAGUAAUAGUGCUAUUCUAAAUUCCUUUAAGUUGGCUUACAUAAUACUACUGCUUAAUUUGACAGAGUGCAACUUUUCAUUUCUUCGAACCUGCUAAACUAAUUCUUAUAAAGGGAAAAACUUGAGAAAAAGGACAUCAAGAGGCUUACUAAGUCCUAACUAUGCCUUACAUUUGAAGACCUUAAAUAGAAAUGUUUUUCUUCACCUUAUGUAUAUUCUCUCUCUGUAUACACAUGAUAUACACACUUGAUUAAAGUUUGGUUUGUUUAUUCACUAAUUUAUAAUCUAGAUGAAUAUAACCAAUCGGUUAAUAAAAUUUUAUACAAUUUUAUUUAAUUAAUAAUAAAACGCUAAUAAAAGGAUAUUAAGUUUAUAAAUAAUAAAAUUAAAAAAAUAUGGUCGCCCGUGCGAAGCACGGGUUAUAGGCUAGUAUUAUACUAAUAAGGGAACUAGUACUUAAACGAAGAAGAAGAUUACUGUUGUGUUUGGUUGAGGUGAAUGAAAAUGGAAGGAAUGGAAUAAGAUUUGAACUAUAAUUUAGUUGAAUGUAUAGUAAUUUCAUUCCUUCUACCAUUCCAUUCUUAUCACUCUUAACUAAAGCUCCAACUCUCCAUUUUGUGAAGGAAUGAUCCAUUCCUUAUCAUACCUAUUUUCUACCCAAAUCUUAUCAUACCAAAUUUGCUCUCAUUCAUUUUUUUCAAAGUCCUUCAUCCUACACUCUAUUAUUUUCUUUUAUUUUUACUCAUUCCAUUCACCCCAACUAAACAUAACAGGUCGACAAGGGUGAUGGAUAAUAAACAUAAACUAAUCUAACAGAAACACACACGAUUAUGAAAACUACAGCAAUUACUAGAUAGUAGUAAACUUGGAGAAGGCCCGGCUCGUUGAAUAAAGAGGCCCUGUGCUAAAUGUGGAUAUUGGACCCUUAUUAUCAAAAAACAGAAUAUUCAAUGAGGCCUCUGCUAAAUGUGUAUAUCGGGCCCUUAUUAUUGAAAAACAGAUGCACAAUUCAAUUAGCCACUAAACUGGAACACGUUAAUUGAAUGGAAAGAUAUAAUCAUGUUCAUUGAAAUAGAAGCUUAAAUUUUUGUAAGUCGAAGCUGAGAGAGAGGAAUACAGGACAAAAUCAUCAGACUCUGCAUCUUGAUUUUGUAUUAGUUAAGGUUUUAUUUUUUUCUUAUAGCGUUUUGUUUCGAUGCAGACAUACUGUAAUGGGCCUGAACUAUAAAACUCAGCAAUGGAUGCAAGUCGGAAAAACAGAAGUCUACACAGCAACGCAACUUGAGGGAGGAUUUUAAUUGAAAAACUAAACUUACAGCUCAGCAAUAUUUACAGUGAUGAAGAAGAUACAUACUUGUUUGUGAAAAGAGAGAAAAUGAAAUAUGGACUUAGAGCAUCUACAAGAGGCUCUUCAUUUAGGCUCCUAACUUGAUAUUUGAGGAGGGAGAAGCAAAAUGUUGCUCCAAGAGACUCUUAAGUGGCUCUUAAAUCUUAAGAGCCUCUUGUUUCUCUCUCCUCUCUCCUCAAAGUUAAGAGCCACCACAUGGCUCCUAACUUAUUUUUUCACAAUAAAAAAAUCCUUCCCUCCAAUCAACCUCCAUCUUUCCCUCUCUUUUGUUAUAGUGGAGCCCAAUAUAUGAAUAAAAUAUGAAAUAGAGAAGAGAUGUAGAGAGUAUUGUUGGAGUUUACACUCUUAACUUUGUCCUAAAUUACUAAGAGCCACAUUUUUUAUAUUAUAUUUAGGAGCCAACAAGGAGGCUCUUGGAGAUGCUCUAACAAGUUAGCUAUGACCCUAACUAUCUAUUUAUAUAGAUACAGCUCGUAGAAUAAUGUACUACUCCCUCCGUCCCCCUCAAUUGUUUACAUUGGAGGGGGACACGGAGACCAAGACAAUGUAUGAAAAAUGAGUAAAGUUAGAUGAAAAGUGGGUAAAAUGGUGGGACCCAUCAAUAUUUAAUAAUAGAUUUGAGAUAGUGGAGGAAAGUAGUGGGUGUAAUAGUAGUUUUUAUUGUUAAAUAUGAGAUAGUGGGGGAGGAUAGUGGGUGUAAUGAUGGGAAAAACUUAUUAUUUAUAGUAGAGUUAAUUGCAAUUGGCACCCCUUUGGUUUCGGCUUAUUGCACAUUGCACCUAAUAGUUUUGGAAAAUACACUUUGCAUCCCCAGACUUUUAACCCGUAGACACUUUGCACCCUUUCCGUUAAAUUCUACCGUUACCGUUAACUUUUGCAGGGGCAUUUUGGGAAAUUUAAUUAUAUUUAAUUAAAAUCAAACCUUUAUUUAAAUUUUUUGAUCAUCUAAACGAUAUUUUUCGGAAAAAUUUAAAGAACGAAAGUUGUAGAGAAUAAAAAGAUCUUCUUAGAACUAUAAGGUUCAAAACUUUCGUAAUUCUUUUUAUAAUUAUUUUUAAAAAAAUUCAAAAAUUAGCAAUCUUGUAAAAAUGAACAAUCGUUUUUAAAUAAUUAUUUAAAUUUUGAACCUUAUUGUUCUAAAAAGAUCUUUUUAUUCUCUACAACUUUCGUUCUUUAAGUUUUUCCGAAAAAUAUCGUUUAGAUGGUCAGAAAAUUUAAAUAAAAGUCUGAUUUUAAUUAAAUAUAAUUAAAUGUCCCAAAAUGCCCCUAAAAAAGUUAACGGUAACGGCAGAAAUUAACGGAAAGGGUGCAAAGUGUCUACGGGUUAAAAGUCUGGGGCUGCAAAGUGUAUUUUCCAAAACUAUUAGGUGCAAUGUGCAAUAAGCCGAAACCAAAGGGGUGCCAAUUGCAAUUAACUCUUUAUAGUAACGUAAAGAAAUGAGAGGGAAAUCCCAAUAUAGUAACUGUAAAGAAAUGAGAGGGACAGAGGGAGUAUCAAAUAUUUAGCCGCCGCUUGUCUUACAAAUGGUUACAAUGAUCCGUACUAGGACGCUAAUAACAGAUUUUGUCCUGUUUGCAGACUAGAGACUGUGAAAUUCAGAGUUUGUCCCUUAACGUACAGAUUCCUCGUACACUUUGUUAUGCCCAGAAUUUGAAGUUAUUUUGUUAGGAUGGAUUAUAAUCCCAAUAGAACAAAGACGAGUGUAUACUAGUAAAUUUAUGUUACAUUGGCACAUACAAUUGGAACCAUGCACAAGAUGUGUUCUGCGUACAAGGCUGUAAAAUUUUACAUGACGGGGCGAUAGUGAUACAUGCAAACGCCUUCAUAAUCCUUCUGCUAAGAAUUGAAUCAUCAAUCUUCAUUAAGUUAGUGCUUGAGUUAUUCAUGCCUAUAAAUAUUAUAUUUUAUAUAUAUUAUGAUCAUUCCAUGGAGUAACUCUCGACUGAACUCGGACGAAUACCAUCUUAAAAUUAAUUUUUAUAGUAUUAAUAAUACUAGCCUUUAACCCGUGCAAAGCACGGGCGACUAUAUAAUUUCAAUUUUAUUAUUUAUAAGUUUAAUGUAUUUUAUUAAUAUUUUAUUAUUAAUUAAAUAAAAUUUUAUUAAAUUAUAUAUACCUACUGGUUAUAUUCAUUUUAGAAAGUUUGUCUUGUACAAUAUUUUUCUAUAUUAUAACACAUUAGUAUAAAAAAUUAAUAUUUUUAUUACCAUAUGUGAUUUUUUUUCUUAAUAUUAAUAUAUGAUAAUGUGUUUUUCAUUAAUAUUAUUUCAUAUUUUGCAUAUUUCAUUGCAUAGCCUAGGUGACUAUAGUAUUCUAAAAAAUUUAGUUAUAUUAAAAUAUUGAGAUAACAUUUUAAGUUAUUGGAAAGAAUUUAUUCAUUUAUAUAUUUUAGGUAUUAAAAUGUUUUUGUUUGAGACGUGUUAAUUAGUGUAAUGUGUCCUGACAUUCUGAGGCCUUUUUUAGAUAGCUUAAGUUGGUAGGUACUGCAGUAGGGAUGAUCAAAAUCGAACCGAAAAUCGAAACCGAAACUAUGAAAAUGGGGACAAAACCGCACCACAAAAAACCGAACCAAUUAAUAACUGAACCGAAUAAAAACCGGACCACUAAUAUAGUUCUAUAUGCGGUUUGAUUUUGAAAUUUUUAAAACUGAAUACAAACCAAACCGAACCAGAAAAAAUUAAUUAUAUAUAAUUUUCGAAUUAUGUAUAUUAAUAUUUUAAUUUAAUUUUAUAGACCAUCAUAUAAUCGUCCCAUAUAUUAUGGGAUGUUUAAUUCUUUUUCUGCUUUACUUCGCCGACAUUUAAGUUUUUUUAUAUGCUAAAACAGAAGGCGACAACUAAACUGGUAAGUGUUGCACAGUGCACAGGUUACUUCAAUAAACAUUAUAAUAUCUUUCAUUUCGUAGUAGCAUUAAAUAUAAAAACUUCACCGUAUUAAAGUACUCGUGAAUACGAAUCUAACAAGAUCACUCAUGACUAUAUUUAGUUUUAUAGAUUAGAUGUAAAUUAGUAAUUUGUCUCAUGUUAUGAACAGUACCGACAUUACAAAUAGGAAAAGAAAAAAGAUACGGAGGGAGUAGUAAUUUAUAUGAGAUACUUGUGAGGGUGUUUGCCAUAGCUCAUGUAUAUAUUAUUUUAUAUAUUUAAAUUAUUUUAAAUUAUAACGUUAUUUAUAUAUUCAUAUCGUAUUUUAAUAAAUAUAUUAAAAAAUUAUAUAUUUGGUUUUGAAACCGAAACCGCACCAUUUAAAACCGAAUUCAAAAAACCGAACCGCACCAUUUAUAUAUAUGCGUUUGGUUUUGUGUUUUAAUUUUACAAACCGAAAACCGCACCGAACCGCACCAUACUCAUCCCAAACUGCAAGUGCUGAUUUUUUCUCAUCUAUAUCUCAAUGAACAGUUGUUCAGAGACAGUGAAGACAAGGCUUGGUAAUGUACAUAUAUUAAGCAUGCAAGUUGUUGAGUGGCUAAGAUGAUGUAGAUGCACGCACAACACAAGUUCUGGUCAUCCCACAUCUGAUGCACAUGAAGAUCUACUACUGCACAUAUGUGGUUGGGUUAUUGAUGUAGUUAGAAGAGUAUUGCAUCUUGCUACAAGGUUCAUAUAGCUGCAAUUGUUAAUAUUCUCUGCAGGGAAAUUGUAUUAAAUAGUAGGGCAUUCUGAUUGUGGUGAGGAUGUGUAGGGAUUAGAACAAGUCUUACAAAUUAUAUUGAGCUGCAGUCUCCUUAAAUUUUCUUACUGCAGCAGAACUAAGUUAAAGUUAAUAACUACAAGUAAUUAUUAUAGAAGUAGUAGGACACUUUCAAAAAAAUUGUGUUCCCCGGAAAGAUAACUGCUAAAACUGGUGAAAUUGUUACACAAGUGUUGUAUAGAAUUGAAUUGAAUUGACGGUAAAUUUAAAAUAGAUCUAGAUAGAAGUCAAUGGAUAAUGUAAGAUAAGCCGAAAGGCAUCCCAUCUGCUUCCAUGAAUGGCCUUUCUGAUAAAUCAACUUUUGCGAGUUCUGCAAGAGCAUUCAAAUCCAUUGAAAGCAAAGAUGCCUAAAAUUAUAGCAGAAAAGAAAGGAAGUCAAUGUCAUGUAAUAUGAAGCAGAGGAAAAUAAUGGAAGCUGCCUGAGUACUUAAAGCAAACAAAAAUAUCAACUAAUAUAGGAACAAAUUAGCUGAAUAAAACAAACAUACGAUCCUGAACCAUGGUAUGAAUAUAAAUACAAUGCUACCGGUUAUAUUGCAUAUUUUCCUUCUGCUUGUUUGAUAUUAUGCGUUCAUUUAAAGGUUCUUGGACUCCUUAACCACAUCUUUUCUUGUAUUACUAUUACAACACACAGUUCAGCACGACCUAGGGACAGGCAAAAUUGGGAAUCACCACAAUCAUCACAAUAUUAAACAAUCAUAUAUGCAUAUAUGUAGAAUGCUCCUUUAUUCUUAACACAAAUUCCUAAUUUCAAUCAAAUUGUGUCCCACAACAACUCUCCUAUCAAUCAUAUGAUAAAUACGACACUUCAGCAUCGACAAGAAGGAAUACAAGGGACAAAAAAUGGUUAAAAUAUAGAUCAGAUGGUUCUCCAGUAAGAGAACAUAGGUCACACCAUAAUAAUAUAGAAUAAAUAUAGACUAUAAUGAUAGUCAUGCACUUGUUUUUGCUGAAAUUACUAUUGUGCUGCAUCUGGUGCAUCAGUAACUGCUAUUCCUAUACCAGCUUUCUUCAGAAAGGGGGAUCAUUGACACAAUCUCUAGUCAUACCACAAAUAUGCUUCUUCUCCUGUAACUUCUUUACUAUUUCAUACUUGUGCUCACACUUAAAAAGGACCUAAUAAUAGCUAGACCAGAUGAAAUAACAAUACAAACCGACCCCAAGCAGCUGCAGUACUCUAUUAGUGCUUCAAAACAACAAAGAAAGAAAAAAAAGAGAAACAAAGAUUGUAUGUAUAGUAGAAAUCAUAGACAAGUAUAUCAUGAUCAACAGAUAAAACUUGCUCAAUCAGCUUUAUAAUAUAGUCUCACCAUAAACUCAAAAUCAACACUAUUUGUGGAUAUCCAGAUUCUUCACUCAAGUACAUCUCAAUUACUUUAUAUUCGUGUCGUAAAACACUCCUCCCUCUGUUUUCAAAAUAGAUGACGCUUAACUGGUAUCUAAUUCAAAAUCAAGUUUUUUUAAACAGAUAAAAUUUGCUCAAUCAGCUUUAUAAUAUAGUCUCACCAUAAACUCAAAAUCAACACUAUUUGUAGAUAUCCAGAUUCUCCACUCUUUUAACUGGGAUACGAAACAGUUCUGAUAUGGAACAAGAUAGACUACACCACCCCCCUUGGAUGUUCCCGGUUCUAAUUAAGCCUGAAAAUGGCUUUAUAUGACUUAUUUAGUUUGUGCACUGAAUUUGUGAUAUUUCUUCUUGAUUUGUAUGGUUUAUCCAAAUCUUACUUAUAUUUAAUUUUCCUGUUUGUUGCUGCAUUAUUACCUUGUAGGUUAAUUUUCUGCAGGCCAAUAACAAUCAUCAGCUUGCAAGGCCGCAAAGAAGGUGACAGUUCUUUUCAAUGUGGUUCUGACCGUCUCAUAGCUGAGUGAGUUGAUGUUUCAAACAACUCUCGGAUCAAACCUGGUCUGCAACAGUAAGACAUACACCUAAAAUAGCUGAAUCCCCGGCUUCCAUUCUAGGACAAGUACUUGAAGAAGAAUUAUCUUGGUAUUUAUUUAACUGCUGUUUUGUGUAAAAGCAUGUGAUAAUUUUUUUAGAACUUCCGACUAGUUGAACUGUCCUUAACAGGGCUAUGGAAGAAACAAAAUUUGUAUAAUAUUAAUGAAGUCUAGCACAAAAUAAUUGCAUUUCACAAGAAAUUUUACGUAGUAAGAUUUUAAUCAGGAUGCUAGCAAUUUAUUCAAUCAGUUUAGUAGUUUACUGUUAUAAAAGAAAAACCACAAAUACCAAACAAAUCACCUUAAAAUUUCAAGUUAAUAAUUAAUUAUGGAGUUUCAAAAAAUUAUAUUUAGAAUUUAAAAUUAUAGGUGGCAUGAUCAAUUAUUAAUUAUUGUAUACAGAACUAAAUCAGAAUAUUAUACUGAACUAUAUAUUUAAAUUUUAUAUGAUUUUUAUAUUGCUUUAGAUUAUAGACUAAUUCAUAAAUAAUAGUUUAUAAUGUUUAAUUUUAUAAUUAUCAUUUAUAUAUUAUUUUACUAUAUAUAUAAUUAAGACCAAUCUCUUUGCAUCAAAGGUGAUAUCGCUUUGUUUAUUCAUUCCUUUAAUUAUAUGUUACAGGGACAGCAGCACUGAUCUCUCCGUGAUCAUAGGGGCCAUGUAUGCAGCCGUAUUAUUUGUGGGAAUCAACAAUUGCUCAACAGUACAACCAAUUGUAGCAGUUGAAAGAACAGUAUUUUAUCGCGCAAGAGCAGCUGGGAUGUACUCUGCAAUCCCUUAUGCCUUAUCACAGGUAGUUUAUCGAAAUCUCUCGAUAUCAAUUUUCACUCAUCAAUAAAAUCUGUUCAGACCUGCUAAUCAAGGGCUUUCGUCGAUGCAGGUAUUUGUCGAGAUAGCAUAUGUGCUUGUCCAAACCAUAUACUACACUCUUAUAGUGUAUGCAAUGGUGUGCUUCGAAUGGACAGCUGCAAAAUUCUUCUGGUUCUUCUUCAUAACAUUUUUCUCCUUCCUCUACUUCACAUACUACGGAAUGAUGAUUGUGUCAAUCACACCAAACCAGCAAGUAGCCGCCAUUUUUGCAGCUGCAUUUUACGCGCUCUUCAAUCUGUUCUCCAGUUUCUUCAUCCCCAAACCAGUAAGUCACUUCCACAUUUAUCCUCUAAAAAUUCAGAAUAUCAAAAGAAAAAAAAAUCUAAGUCUGCAUUUUCUUGUUUUAUAAAAAUUACCAGAAAAUUCCUAAGUAGUGGAUAUGGUACUACUACCUCUACCCCGUGGCAUGGACUGUCUACGGAAUAAUAGUAUCACCCUAUGGCGACGUAACAGACACCAUCACAGUUCCAGGAAUGUCGACUAAACCAACCAUCAAAUGGUACAUAAAUGAUCAUUAUGGGUAUGAGUCGGAUUUUAUGGCGCCAGUAGCUGUGGUAUUAAUUGGUUUUACAGUCGUUCUUGUAUGCUUACUGCCUUAAAACAUUGAAAUUCCUGACAAAGUAGAGGACUGAAGAUCAGAGGGAGGUCUGUGAGUGUAGUAUAAUGGAGAAAUUGGACAGCAUGAAGAAGAAUAGUACUAAUGGUAAGAAAGAUUAUGACGGGGAUGAGGGUGUGGAGAGAAGGAGGGCAAGGAGAGAGAGGUCGAAGUUGAGGACAAAGAAAACGGAGAAUGGUAUUAAUGGUGGUGUAACUGUAUGUACUUCUGAUGAAAAAGUGAUUGAUAGUGCUGGGAAGAUGUACUGUAGUAAAUACUAACAUAAGAUUUUAGUUUCUACAGACCAUAACAAUAAAGUUUUUCAAUCAAGACAAAUAGAACCAAUUACCUAAUCCGACUUCCUUCCAUCAUCACUCACGACGCUUGUACGAUGAAUGCUUCCUAGCACCCCUUGCAUUCUCAUACUCAAAUUUCAACACAUGUGGUACAUGUGAAGUAUCCUUGACAUUGUUGUUGAGUCGCUCGACUAGUCGCGACUAGUCGUCGACUAGUCGAGUAGUCGGUGUGCAGGGCUCGACUGGGAUGGUCGACUAGACAGAUGUAAGUAUUUCGCCCGACUUAUGACUGACUGGUCGACUGGGUCGACUAGUCGGGUCGACUGGAAGACCCAGUCGGUCGACUAGUGUUCAAAUUCUAAAAAAAAUCAAAAACCCAGUUGUAUCAAAACCUAAAAACAAAAGCCCAGCAGCCUCCAGUCGAUUCCAAGCAGUCUCAGUCACUUCUAACAUCGAUUGAAUCGAUUCCAGUAGCUUUGUUUACUCUGUUAUUACUUACAUUUACACACACUCUGUUAUUACACACACUUGCACACUCUAUAAUCAGUAGUCACUAGUUGCAAUAGGCAUUGUUUAAUGCCAGUACACACACACAGAAUCACAGUUGCUUUGUUUAAUCUGCAGAAUGGCUGAUGCAUCGAACAAGGCUGUUUAUGCAUAAUUAAAAAGUGAGAAUGUAGAAGUUAGAACAGACAUAUAUAAUUUAUUACACAUAUAAAUAUAAGUAUAUAUAAUAUAUAAUAUUAAUUUUAUACCUUGUCGACUAGUGUCGACUAGUCUACGACUAGUCUCGACUAGUCACGACUCGACUUGCCGGAGAGUCUAGUCGACUCGACUCGACUUACCGACUUAACAACCAUGAUCCUUGAAAUAUAACACGCUCCCAAUUGGACUCUCUUCAAUCAUAGGAAAAUAUAAUUAACAAUAUAAAACCAACCCCCGUCAAGCAAAGCACCCAAUGUAACACCCUAAAACACCUGUACAACAGUAUAAGAACUAACUCUCAUCAAUAACCUCUAAUAUCAAACUUGAAAAGUACCGACUUCAAGGAGACUUCUACACAGCCUAGUUGAACUGACCUUAAGAGGGCCCUAAUUACGUGCUAAGAAUAACUAACUCUCAUAUCAAACUUGAAAAGGCAUAAUCAAAUUAUCAUAUUCAUAGGUAAUUAUCAAAUUAUCAUAGGUAAUUGUAUCUAAAGCAACAAUUAAAACUGGAUAAACAAAAAACCAAAUAAAUAAGUGAUUACCUCCUUGGACUGUAUGUGAAGAUACGAAGCUCUCCCCGAUAUGGAGACGGAGACAGAGGGCGAUGAAGACAGGGACAGAGAGCGAAGGUGAGUGUAUUGGUGAAUGUGAUGGAGAGGGAUACUGAUACUUGUAUCCUGUUCUAUUUGUUUUUGAUACUUCUAUCCUGUUCUAUUUGUUUUUGUUUUAAAAAGCAAGACUUGAAUUGUUCGUUAUUCUCAGCAGGGGUAAUAUAGGGUAAGCGACGAAACGAAACUAAAAGACUAAACCAAAAAUUUUGUACGAAAAAACAACGACCAAACCAAAAAUUGUGAAGGAAAAGUAGGACUACAAAUUAUACCCAUCUUGGCUUUUUAUAGUAUAGUAUAGAUUGAGAUUUUAAAAUUAUAUAAUCUGAAUAAUCGUAUUAUAUAUCAUUUUAAAAUUUUCAAACAAUAUAAAAUACAAAAUAAUUGCAAAAGAAAUAACUCGGUGUCCGUCCCGGACUCUAAACUAGAAUAAAUUUAAUAUAAAAUCCAUAAAUAUUAUAUUUAAAAUUAUGAUCACUAAUGGAAGGAAAAUGCUAGAUGGGGAUGGGCAUUUUACCGCCCCGCUCGACCUCAAUCCGAUUCCAGUCACGUUCGUAUCGGGGGAGCGGGGACUUUUUUGGGUAAAGGAUGGGGGAUCGGGGGAAGUUUAUUAAAUAUUCGGGGAUCGGAAAGGGUUCGCAUAUUGUCUCCCCAUCCCGAUGAGCCCAAAAACUCCUCAAUUUUCAUAUAUAAUAUAAAUAUUAUAUUUAUAUAUUAUUAUAAUACUACUUAUUAAUUAUAAAUAUAUAUUAUAUAUAUAGUUUAAAUAAUCUUCAUCAUUUUAUUAUUUAAAUGUAUUCAUAUUAUAACAUAAAUUAAUUAUAAUAAAUAUAGUUAUAUCUUCUAAUUUUUUGUGUUAGUUUAAAUUAAUACUCAAAAUGCUACAUAAAAGUAGAAACCUAUUAUGUACAAUGACAUAUUAAUACAAUUUUAAAUUAGAAUUUAUAUUAUAAUAUUUUUAAAAAAAUUAAUGAAUUCUCCAAAUCCCACAUUCAGGGCGGGGAUCGGGGAGCAAACGAAUUCCGUUCAGAAAUUGAGGCGGGUUCGGAGAUCGGAGACGGGGAUAACAUUCCGCGACUCGGAAGUGACCCAAAGCCCGUCCCUAAUGCUAGAUAUCCUAAAAAGGUGUUGCCAAAUCAUUAUCCCAAAUAUAGUUAACGACCUUCAAUAAUAAUAAAUGAUCUACAUAAAUCACCCAAUUAAAAUUAUUCAUAUGUUAUUUGAAAAAAUUUCGAUUCAACCAAAAAUAAGAAGCAUGAGAAAAAGUAAAACUCCAAGUCCUCUCGUUUAAGAGCCAUUACAUGACUCUUAUAUUACUCUUUUAUAAUAAAAUUCAUUCUCUCCCAUUUGAAUUUGAAUUUUUGUGAUAAUGGAGUUCAAAUAUGAAUAAAAUAUAAUGUUAGAAGUGAGUAUAAAGAGCAUUAGCGGAGUUUAUCAUUACACGACUCUUAAUUUAUUUUUAUAAUAAAGUAUCCAUUCCCUCUCAUUUGAAUUUGAAUGUUUGUCACAGUGGAGUUCAAAUAAAAAUAAAAUAUAAUGUUAGGAAGGUAUAUAAAGAUUCACACUCUUCAUAAUGUAUUAAUUUACUAAUAACUUAACAUUUUAUAUUAUAUUUAAGAAUAACCAGGAGCUUAUUGGAAAUGCUCUAACACAAGGAACCGAAUCCAACAGUUUCGGUUCGGGUCUUUCUACAGCGUUUUUUAUCCUUCUUGCACAAGAUCAGACUACUGAAACGAUGUGACAUGCUUGAAUGUAGCAACACAAGUACAUGCACCCAAUUGAACUACUGUGGAUAUUACAAAAACCACAAAGUCAUAUACUACACUAAGGAAGCAAUUACAUCCUUUUACUACAGAAACUCUACCUACAAAGUUAUCUAAAUCAUUAAUAUAGAGCUCCUAACAAGUGACUAAAUCAAUUAAAGAGGGACAAUACAACUGCAUAUUGUUAAUCAGCUACAACAUUAAGUGACUAUGAAAUCACUAAACCAAUGCAUACAGCAAGACCACAGCUAUAUAUUAUCAAUUCGCAACCUUUCUGUGCCCAGCAAACCAUAUCGCACAAAAUGGCUCCAGAAAACAACAGUACUCGUUCUGAAACUAGUUUGAGAACGAGAACACACGCAACAAUUAAACAAACUGUUAUUAUGGUGAUCUCCUUCUUUUCCAGAUAUGCUUGCUCGCCUGCAACUUUUUCGAUAUCUAAUCUGCAAAUCAAGUUAAACAUAACAGGAUCAACACAUGCUUCAAAACAUCAGUUAUUAUGCCAAGUAUAUUAGUUUCAAGUCAAAAUAUCAGUUAUAAUGUGAGAUAUGUUACUUUUAAGUCAAAAUACAGGUUAAAUUUGUCCUGAGCAAAUUCAUGGAAUUUUAGAAUCUUGCAGAACUGACCAUUUGAGCAGGAAAAGAUAAACGUGUAUGAGCUUAUACGACUAGUACAUGUGCGUAUCACAAACCUCAAAUUAACAUUUUCUCUUAUCACUGAUUCCAGCUUCGACAUGACGCCACUUUUCCAUGAAUCAAUGUCAGCAACUUCUUUCUCCUGCAAAAUCAUAUGAAUCACAUUAAAAAUGACAAAGUUAACAUAAAUGGUUUACAUGCCAAGUGAAACUUAAAGAGUAAUGCAGAUGUGCACGCACCAUAAUCUCUUUCCAUUCUAAAAUAUCCUUGACCUCGAUUUUGCUCUUUUCCAACAGCUUUUUAUAGUCUGCAAUUUUUUUCUCCAGGUCAGGUAUAACCUCUGUUUGUCCAUUGUUUAAUCGUUUGAUGUACUCCUCCAAUGCGGAUAAAUUUGUUUCAAGUGACCUCACCUUCUGCAUUAAUAUUUUAAGAACGACAUCCCCGUGUAUUCUACCACUUGAUUGUUGUCUAACUUUGACUGUCGGAUUGACUAUAGGAUCAGGGAUGUUGCUUACUGUGACUUGAACUUUUGGUGCAUCAACUGUUGGCUUAUUCCCAUCAUCAGCCCCUUCUACCCCUUUACUUUUACUAGAGACAUCAACCGCCUGUUUAGCUUCACCAUCAACCUUUUUAUCAUUAACGCCUGAUUCUGGUUUUGCAGACAGAGUAAUAGUUGAAUUAGGUUUUGAUAAUUUAGUGGAAGCACUUUCCUCAGAUUUUACAAUGAGAUCUUCAAGCAUCUGCUCAAUUGCAUCAUCUCCAUACACUCCCACAAGACUCAACGUGCAGUAAAAUUCUGAUCCAUAAUGACUAAGCAAAUUCAGCUUUAAGUAUCUCACCCACUUUGGUUCAGGUAGCUUAAAACUUUGAGUAUGCUUCACAUUUGCUGCGACAAAGCUUCCCAAUGAGUACCAUAUCUCAGUUGGAUAAGUCAAACUACCAGACAAAUUAAACUCCUUAAAAUUAGAAGAAUAAUGUUCAAAAUUUGCAAUUUUGACAGCAUCUACCAGCGUCUCCUCAGCGAGUUCAAUGACAACAUAUUUCCCCCCAAUUGAACAAGGAUUUCUCAAAUAUUUAUCAUGGUCUUUCCCCAAUAUGUUGCUAGCUCCUUUUGCUUCCUUGUUGUGCGCAACCACCUUUGCACCCUUUGAAUCAGAGGCGUAGUUGUAUUCCGUCCCAUCAGGUUCAAGUCUAUGGGUAAUAUUAACGCGUGCAUUUGGUGUAGAGCCUUUUUCUUUCAUUGUCAUGUUUAGUGAUGCAUCAAAAGAUGCUUCAUAUGUUCUAGCAGUAUCAAAUUUUCCCGUUUUUGUAUAUCUAUCUUCAUCUUGCAGGUUAAGCUCACACAUCAACUCCCUAUACCCUAAUAUACUCUGGACUAAAUCUUUCCGACGACAUGUUCCCUGAGGUGAUUUCCUCGAAUUUGUAUUGUUAUGAUCCUGACCACUAGGUUUACUAAUAUUCAGAGGCACUUUAACUUCGAAAACUAAUUCUUGCUUAUAAUCAUCAUCCCUAUUUUCUACAAAAUCAUAUGCGAUGUCAGAAUGCUUGUCAUAAGAUAUACUUGAGUUAGUCAUGCUCCGAUUACUGGACUGUACAUUCCCUGUUCAAUACAAAUCUCAAUCACUACAAACUAUUACAUCCAAAAAAUCUAAAUACCAAACAAACAAUGAUCAUUUCAUUCAUAAUAAGUCUACAUAAUUUGACAUUACUACAAGGAACUCGCAUAAUUUCGACAGAAAAUCAUGAACCAUAUAUCCCACAAAUUCUUCCAGAAACAGAUUAACCCGCAAUAAAAAAAUCAAAAACACUAAAUUAAAUUCAAAAAAAAAUAAUCAAAAACCAAAGAGUGCCUAAAAUUUAACCCAAAGAUUCCAAAACCACUAAAAUUAAAUGCAUAAAAAUGGGUCUUAACUCACAAUAAAAAAAUGAAAACCACUAAAAUAAAAAAGUAAAAAGAUAAAAAAUUUACCUCCAUUACCGUAUGUAAGGCCAAGCUUAGAAUAAAACAAGAAAACAAGAAACCAAAAGGAGAUCAUUAAAGGCAAAGAAAGCUCAAACAAGCUCUUCUUCUCAAUGUCUUUUUGUGGGCCCCUUUUUCCAGACUUGAUGUAUAUGAGAUCACCGUUGUGGGUUUUCUUUUUCCUCAUAUCUCAUCGUCAUUUAACUUUUCCGGCGGCCGUUAAAAUUCAUCGGCGACAGGGGUGUUUUAUGUAGUUGGUGAUAUAAAUUGGAUUUAUUAUGUUGUGUUGCAUGUGGGGUUGUGUGAGAAUGUCUGAAAAUAUGUUUUAAUCGGAGAGGGAUGGCUUGUUUGGUUGGUGAGGUGGUGUUUUUGUGUGGCUGUGCAAAGGUUUGCUUCCGAAAGUACCGGAAAGUGUUUUACUACUUCCACUCCACUAUUUUUCUGUUUUUAAAUACUCCGUCUGUUUUUUAAUAUAUGACGAUUGACUUUUUGGCACACAUUUUUAAGUGUUUUGACCGAGUAGUUAAAAUAUUAUUUUUGAAAUUUUCUUUUUCUGAAUAAAAAUAUAUAAUCAAAAUUUUAAUUCACCAAAAAAAUCAAUUAAAAAUAAUGAUUUUUACUAUCCAGUCAACCCACCUAAAGGUACGUGCACAAGUCAAAAGUGACAUAUAAAAAAACAGAGGGAGUAUGACUACAGUCUACACGUGCAGACGUGCUACUUUCGUUUAUUGUUUUCAUGACUGUCUUAAUAUUUUUUUAUUAAAGAAUUUGAAUAUUUUAUGUGUUAGACAAAGAAAACAAAAUAAUUAUUUAUUUAACUCGUUUUUUCGACAGUUUGGGUCUGUCUCGGCUGGGUUUUGACGAGUGGUUUCUGUUAAUAAAACUAAUUGUAUGUCAAAAAAUAAUAAUAAGGAGAUGAUCUGAUGAUGAUCAAGCGUCUACAUGUUAAAUGUUAUUCUCUUCGUUUCUUUUUUUUUUUAAGAUUUUUUAUUUUUGACAUGUAUUUUAAAAUAACAGGUAAAAUAUAAUUUCAUAACUUAUUUUUAAAUUUAUUUUCUAAAAUAUUUGAUAUUAAAUUUUUAUUAAAAAAAAUUAAAAAUAAUUUAUAAAACUACAUUUAAUAUAAACGUAUUAGAAUAUGUGCUAGUUUUCGCAAGAUAAAGAACCUAGAAAGACAAAUAGAGUAUCUUGUCUCCAUUUUUAUUAUCCUAUAAGAAUUUCGGUACUGAUAUUACCAACCGGAGACACAUGCUCUCUGCUUCCACACACACACUGUUUUCAGGAUCUGGUGUGUUCAUGACCCAGAAGUAGAUAACUUCUUACACCAGGACACAUUAGCUGGAAAAAUGGUGGGCUUGUGAGAUAGUUGCGGAGUGGUCAGAAGCCAAGUCAUUCAUAACAACAUCCUGUAAGGAAUCUGGUAAAUCGCAAAGUUGUCUGGUUUAAGGCAUAACCAUAGGGCAUUUCAAUAUCAAAGCCAACAUCUGCGACAAACUCAAAGAGUCCAGAAAUUUGCUAGACUCUGGCUAAGAAGAUCCUGUUAUAUAGUCCGCAACAAGCCUCUGACAUUGUACAGAUGGUGUAGAAUUUCGUAGCUCAUUUCUUCCAUAUUUACAGUUUACAUUCAGUUGUGAAUAUUUAUGCCGACAUUUUUUUAAAAUUCAUGCAAAAAACUAUAAAAUCCACAUGCAUACACAGAUUGUAAUGUGGAACAUCCAGAAACAUAAAUAACAACAGAACACGAGUUUGGGGUUCCAAUUUUCAUAUUUAUCACAACAAGGAGGUCCACCUCACGGAGUAAACUUGCCACCAUGCUUUAGAAUGGGGAGCUGGGACACCUCCUCAACAAUCCGAGUUUAUCUUUUGCCCGGGCCUCAUCUUUGGCUUCUUCUGCUUCAAUGUUCUGCAUGAUGUUCACAAAAAACAUCUCAAAAUUUAACAUAUUCAAGAAUGCAGGACAACAUUUCCACCAAAUUUUCAUCAUCGGUUAGUACAAAACAUUGAAACUUUACAUAAAAAAUGCACAAUUCAAAUGGCACAAACCUCCACAAGGAAUGACAUCAUCACAUUGCACCAUUUCUGUAAAAUUGUGUUUAUGGGCUCACAAGAUUAGUUUGAGUGAAUAGUGCUGGUCUUUAACGCUGCCUGUUCAUGUCACUCAACAAAGAGAGUUUUGUUAACACAAGAAGCUAUUGUAAACAAAUAAAUUCUAAUAAAUUGAAGCUAGAUGACCAGGAAUAGGGUAUAUACCAAUCUAUGUCUGAGGUAACUGGUAAGCAUUCUUAACUUUCCAAUGAUUCAGCUCUGCUUCUAGUUCAACCGUGUACGCCUGUCCAUACAAAUAAAACAUUUGAGGUAUCACAACAGUAAAAAAUACACACUUCAGUUUAGAAACAAGAUAAGAGCGGUACAUGUUUUCUUGCUCUGGAUCUUACUGCAGACUCCCUGUUUUUCAGUAUCUUCUUUCGACGGUUCUCAAUGACCCUUUCCACAGGGCCAUUCCGCUUCCUUCCCUAUCCCAUCAGAGGAAACAUGACUCAUGUUGGUAUUACUCCCCCUCCAUGAACACUAUAGGCAAGUUGGUAUGUGCUGUCGCUACUUAUUCCACCUGGCAAGCAAGCCGCUACACUUGCUCUACCAAUUUGUGGCAGUGAUUUGAAUAGAGUAAGAAUAUUAAGCUACCAGCACCACCAUAUCCCAGAACCAUAAAGCUAGAUGCUGCUGUAUUUUCGUAGUUUACAUGCAUACCAUAGGCCAGUUGAGAGUGAGGCUGUGGCUGAAGCUGAGGCAGCUGAGGGGGAAGAGAAGGAGGAGGAGGUGGUUGUGCUUGUCUGGCACUUUCUUCUCGGACUACACCUGCCCUGACAAAAAAUUCCUCCAGUGUCAUUUUUCCAUAUGCAGGUUCGCUUUGCCUGGAACCAGAAUGAUCGGUGCUUUGCUGUGUUCUACUGAUCUCAGACCACACUUCUGCCCCUCUUUUCAAGCUCAUUUAUUUAAUUUUUUUAAAUUGAAAUAUUGAUUCCAGUAAUCGACCAAUAACAUGAUAUGAGAUAUGAUACCUUAAAAGCAUAUUAAUUUAACUCGUUUCCUCAACCUCAUAGGACUACACUGCGCAAACCAAACGACCCCUUGGAGUCUGUUUUAUGAUACCGGAUUUUAUUGGCGAUUUACCCAUUCACUGACUUUUGCUAGCCCUUUUCAAAUUUAAUCUUAAAAUUUUACAUGUUUAUAUAAUAAGUCAGAGACUGACAAUAUGUAAAAUAUGUGAGAACCUGAUUUAAUUUCAUAAGUUGGUAGGUUGUAUUUUUUUGAACAACUUAUUUUAUUUAAUGAUUUUUCUAAUAUAAAUCAAUUUCAUCAUUCAAAUGAAUAACAUAAUAAAUUACUUUUAUUAUUAUAAUUUUAAUAACUUAUAAGUCACAUACAAUGUAAAUUAUCUAGAUAACUUAAAUUACACACCUAUCAUGACAAAGAGAAAUACUUAUAUUAUAUGGAGGUAGAGUAGGGGUUUAUUGGUACCAUAAAUAUUCUAUAAAAAUGACAAAACCGAAAAUAUAAGGAUUACAUUUAAUCAUUUUUUGUUGGAACUUCUUGCAGUUACAAUUAAACUCAAAUAUAUUGUUCUAAUGGGGCUCCAGGUUUAUUAAAGAAAGAAGCUGCUCUAAUUCUUCUGCUACUUGCUUUGCAUCAGGUCUUGAUUUGGUAUCUACUGAGGUGCAUCUAAGUGCGAGGGAAGAGGCUGUUGAUGCUGCUCCUACAGUGUAUUGGCCUUCCAAAUGUGCAUCCAUUAUAUCCAAAAUCCCAUGCUCUUUGCUGAGCCGAGACUGAACCGAAGAAGCCAGGUUCACCUCAUUGUCGGCUUUUCGUCCUGUCAAAAGUUCCAGGAGGACAACUCCAAAGCUGUAGACAUCGCUUUUCAAUGUUAAUUCACCUUCAUAAGAAUAGAUUAUCAUGGGAUUAGUAGAUAAUACAGAAGCAAGGAGUAUGUGCCCUGCUUGAUUAGAGAUAUUUGCAAUCUACUUCCAGAAAAAAUAUAACAUGUACACAGCUAAACCCUUUAGACGUAAGGUUAUGUGAAAUAUUAACCUGUAUGAUAAUAUUCGGGAUCUAUAUAACCGAAUGUUCCCUGAACACGUGUAGUAACAUGGGAUCUUUCCUCUUCUGGUCCGUCCUUAGCCAGACUAAAACCAGAGAGCUUUGCAUUGUAUUUCUGUCAGUAACAGAAAUUUUGUCAGGCAAAAGUAUAUUUUUAGGGGGAACAAUGGUCGGUAGUAAAUUUUAACCAUCAUUGUUUCUACAUACUGAAUCAAUCAAUAUGUUGGAUGUUUUGACAUCACGAUGUAUAACAUUUACUCCUGGACCAUGAAGAUAUGCAAGCCCCUUAGCAGCUCCAUGAGCAAGACCUAUACGAAGUUUCCAGGAGAGCCGUUGAGAAGUAGAAACCCCUGUUUCAAGUGAAUUAAGUAGCUGCGUCAAACAACAGUUUUUCACAGGCAUAGCUUACAAAACCCAGGUUUUUCCCCUUCUUAAGAUUUUUACAAUUUUACGCGGAGCCCACCAUCUAAUAACUUAUGACGAAUAUUAUACGAGCGAUGAAAAAUUGAACUUAAGACGCAUUCAAAAGCGACAGAUAUUUUCCGUCGUAAUUGUGUCCAUUUACGACAGAUGCAGUGUUAUAAGAGGAUAAUUGACUAGAUCAGAGCUAAUAAUAUUAAGAAACUCACGCAGAUGCUGGUCCAAGCGUCCAUGAAGUGGGUGCUCAAGUACUAGAAGCCGCUCCUUUUCCAAGCAAUAUCCAAUCAGUUUUACGAUAUUAGGAUGACAAAGUUUUCUUAAGGUAUCGAUUUCUUUCUGUAGUAUAAGAGGUGACAGAGUUCUUUAGUAGCUUAAAUAAAACACAACAAAAAUUGUAAAACUAAAACAAAAAGAUCACAGGGAAAUGUAUUGCAGGCAAAAGUUGAAAAGUGAGACUAACCAACCACACCUCCUUGAAAUUUGGGUUAUCUUUCAAUCUCUUUAUUGUAGUAAUCGGACCAGUACCCUUAUAAUAAGUAUAAUAAUCAUCAUUCCCCCACAGAGCACCGGGAUCGAACUUGCUGGUAGCUGUCCUGAGAUGAUGGAAUGUGUAACUCUUCAAAUUUGAUGGCUUCAUGAUGAGCUUUGAACAGGGCUGUUUGAGACUUUUUUUUUGAGGCCCUGUGCUAACUAUAAGAAUGAGGUCCUCCCAAAUGACAACACAAAAUUUUAAUAUAUUUAAAAUAAUAAGAUAUCAUCCAUAAAAUUAUACUACUACAACUGAAAAAUUGUUUGAUUGCAACUACUACAAAAAACAUCAACUAUUACUUGAACUUGUCACUUCUUCUAGCGUUUUUUGAAGUGAAUUCAUCCACCAAGUCUUCAUAAUCAAUUGGUUGGAGGCUUUUAAAAAAUAAAAUUCAGAUAAUUUCUACACCCAUUUGAUGAACACCGGAGCUUGAAAUCUUUGAUGGAGUCUGGAGAAGAAAUGGCAUGACAGUGGAAUGGACAAAUGAGUCACUAAAAUAUGUUUGCUCGUUAAAAGUUUUGUUUUUUUGGAUAGUUAGACUUAAAUAUGUGUGUGGCCAUGUGGGAUUUAGCUUACACAGUGUACUAGUUUGUGGGGGUGGGGGGAGGAAUAAGAAGAGACAUGCAUAGCUCGAUCUUGAGAAUUGAUUAGUGUUUAAAUAAAAUAAUGUUAACAAUUAAAGAGAUGUUAAUAUUAUAUUAUAUUUAUCAUGAGUAUACUAAGAGAUAGACAGAAGUAGUCAUAUAAAAACGGCCCUGGCUUUGAAUCCCUGUUGACUGGCGUACUUGGCCAAACCUAUUUUUAGCGUAUUCGUGUAGCUUUUGUUAAAGAAACUAUAGGUCAAUUUAUGAUUUAUAAAUCUAUAUAGAUGAAAUUGAAGAUCUUAAUUUUUUUGUUACUUAAUUUGGAUUUACAAAACGUAUUACAGUGAGAUUACCUGAUAUGACCCGAGCUGCAAGUGUCAGCAAAGUAGCAAAUCUUUGAAAAGAAGAAGACUGCUUCUCUUUCUCGGGGAAGAAUGAAGAAGACUGCUUUUCCUGAUGCCUACUGCUGGAAAUACCAUCCAGCUCAUCAUCGGAAUUUUCAUUCUCCACCUCAUGGUCUGAUACAUCUCCUUCCUCCACCUCAGAGUCUGAUAUAUCUAUUUCCUCUUGGUUCUCAUCACUAGUUAUCUUUUCAGUCCUCUUUUCUUGCAAGGCCAAGGCAGACUCAAGACCAACAACAACCUCAGCCAUAGUGGGACGAUGUUUAGGUUCGGUCUGUAAACACUGGAUUGCAACUUUCACGAACAUCUCUAGAGAAUCAGGAUACACAUUAUCUUUUAUUCCCUCAUCAAUAAUUUCCCCCAGUCUUUUCUCUCUGAAGCAAUAUUGUGCCCAUCUAGCUAAACCAAUUUGCUCUUCAUCCAGACUCUUGUCCACUGCUGGCCUUCCACACAAGACCUCAAAUAACACAACACCGAAGGCAUACACGUCGGAUUUCCUCGUGAGCCUUUGGGUUUGGAAAUAAUCAGGAUCAAAAUAUCCAAAGGUUCCUUUCACCUGAGUGCUUACGAAUGUAUGCGUCUGAUUAGCUGGACUUGUUCUAGAUAAUCCGAAAUCAGAAACCUUAGCUGCAAAAUUCUGGUCAAGUAGGAUGUUAGUGCUCUUUACAUCACGGUGUAUGAUUCUCUGGUAAAUCCCUGUUCCAGUGUGAAGGUAAUCCAGUCCUCGAGCUGCUCCGAUACAAAUCUUGAGACGUUGAACCCAUGAAAGAGGCGAAGAAGAAGUGUCAUCUUGUCUAAGCCUCUUAUGAAUAUGAUCGGCUAACGUACCACCUGCCAUAAAUUCAUAAACAAGAAUCAU
rnacentral:lncRNA from 1 species